rnacentral:miRNA from 1 species
AACGGCAAAAACUACAGGUAGC